GACGAACGCUGGCGGCGUGCUUAACACAUGCAAGUCGAACGGAAAGGCCCUGCUUUUGUGGGGUGCUCGAGUGGCGAACGGGUGAGUAACACGUGAGUAACCUGCCCUUGACUUUGGGAUAACUUCAGGAAACUGGGGCUAAUACCGGAUAGGAGCUCCUGCUGCAUGGUGGGGGUUGGAAAGUUUCGGCGGUUGGGGAUGGACUCGCGGCUUAUCAGCUUGUUGGUGGGGUAGUGGCUUACCAAGGCUUUGACGGGUAGCCGGCCUGAGAGGGUGACCGGCCACAUUGGGACUGAGGUACGGCCCAGACUCCUACGGGAGGCAGCAGUGGGGAAUAUUGCAAAAUGGGCGGAAGCCUGAUGCAGCCACGCCGCGUGCGGGAUGACGGCCUUCGGGUUGUAAACCGCUUUCGCCUGUGACGAAGCGUGAGUGACGGUAAUGGGUAAAGAAGCACCGGCUAACUACGUG
rnacentral:rRNA from 1 species